GGGUUGCCACUUGCGCUAACGACACUAUCUUGGAAGAGAUCUCUCCGCAAAUUAGGGCCUGAAAUGAUCCUGUAAAUAUCACUCUGAGGUCUUUAGUCUCAACAUUUGACGUUUAUUAAAUCUUCUACAUGGAACUCGAUCGUCAAAGGUCUCGCCAAAAAAGUGCGCCAGAUGGUAAUAAUGAGACUCAGUACCAUUUCCCCGACACUACAGACGCAAGACGACAGAAAGUAGCCAAACAGAUUAGGCGACGGAAGACUCUGGACGAAACGGACACUAAGGGAAAUACGAACGGAAGAAGCUUAUCUAUCGACAAAGGAGUUCUUAAGUUUGAUAGCAAAGAAUCAGAAGCC